ACAGGAAAUCUGAGGGAGUGUGUACCAGAGCAAACACUGCGAGUGGGAAAUGUCAUGGUUGAGGAAAGGAAUCCUCAGUCAAAGAGUCUGGUGGGUCCUGAGGAUGUUAAGCUGAUCUGAGCUGGUGAGACAGAGAAGGAAAAGGUGACUGUAAUCAGCUGUGUGUUUACAUCAGGCUCCUGCAGAAGCAACAAAGCACCUGGAAGCUGUGUAAAAGAAGUCAGUUAAAGUCAGCAUCCACGGAAUGAAUCC